UGAGCCGAUCUACACCACGCGCUUGUCUCUACGGAAACCUGAACCCCUUCAGCUUUUAUGUGUAAUUUGUGUGUGGGCACAUGUUCUCGAUCUGUCGAUAUUGAAGGACAACAAUUUGGUCACGGAACAAAGGGAGAACAGGACAGCUCGGACAGCACAGAUCCACCUCCCAUAUGAAGGGUAUGUGGAUCCAUGAUAGAGCCAAGGAAACAGAAGUAAACACACAAGCUCAACGGCUGAAAACAGCACAAGCCGCAUGACCCAGAUCGGUGCAUCUAGGAGGUCUUCAGAAUUUAAAGACUGUAGAAAAAUUCCCUGCAGAGGAGGAACCCGUUGCAAAUUUUGCUCUCUGCGUCUCCUCCUUAGAUUCUGCUCAAGUUCUGGAUCAAGUGGAAUCAAUUUCUGCACUGCUGAACGGGUGCUGACCAUGCACAGAUUUAUGAAAUCUGCACUGCUGUA